UACAGAGGUCUCAAGCGUUGUUCGGAUUCAUUGGGCGUAAAGGGCGCGUAGGCUGUGGGGUAAGUCUGGUGUGAAAUCUCGAAGCUCAACUUCGAGACUGCACUGGAUACUGCCUUACUUGAGGACUGGAGAGGAGAUUGGAAUUCACGGUGUAGCAGUGAAAUGCGUAGAGAUCGUGAGGAAGACCAGUGGCGAAGGCGGAUCUCUGGACAGUUCCUGACGCUGAGGCACGAAGGCCAGGGGAGCAAACGGG
rnacentral:rRNA from 1 species